rnacentral:rRNA from 1 species
GUACUUUAAUUAGGUACAAUCUCGACUACGUUGAAUAAAGUUCUAGAUAGAUCAAUGAUUAUGACAAUUUUCUAUCUAUAUGUCUUGACCAAUUCACGUGCCAGCAGUCGCGGUAAUACGUGGAAGACUUGUGUUAUUCAUCUUUAUUAGGUAUAAAGGGUACCUAGACGGUAUAUUUAGCCCAGAAAGGGUACAUUUAUUCUAGAGUUUUAUGGAAGAAGGGGAGAACUACAGAAGUAGAGAUAAAAUUCUGUGAUAUCUAUAGGACUGAUAUAGGCGAAGGCAACCUUCUAUGUAAAAACUGACGUUGAGGGACGAAGGCUUGGGUAACGAUUAGGAUUAGAUACCCUAGUAGUCCAGGCAGAGAAUUAUGAAUGUCAUAAACUAGAGAGUUUUUGGUUUAUAAAUGAAAAUGUAAGCAUUCCACCUCAAGAGUAAUGUGGCAACACAGGAACUGAAAUCAUUAGACCGUUUCUGAAACCAGUAGUGAAGUAUGUUGUUUAAUUCGAUGAUCCGCGAAAAACCUUACCACAAUUUGAAUAUUAUACAAGCGCUGCACGGCUGUCUUCAGUUAAUGUCGUGAGAUUUUGGUUAGUUCCAUUAAUUAACGUAAACCCUUGCUUUAUUUAUCUUUAUAAAGUAGUUCACCUGCAUCUUAGGUAAAAUAACAGGGAAUAAGACAAGUCAUCAUGGCCUUAAUAUUGUGGGCUAUAGACGUGCCACAUAAGCCUUAACAAAGGGAUGCAAUGUCGUGAGAUAGAGCUAAUCCUU